UACCUCAAAAAACCACAACAGUCUGUUUCAUCCGUAUAGGAAUCAUCAAGUGGUUGAUGAUUCCUAUACGGAUGAAACAGACUGUUGUGGUUUUU